AGGAGCUUGCUCUUGUGGAUCAGUGGCGAACGGGUGAGUAACACGUGAGCAACCUGCCCCUGACUCUGGGAUAAGCGCUGGAAACGGCGUCUAAUACUGGAUAUGUGACGUGACCGCAUGGUCUGCGUUUGGAAAGAUUUUUCGGUUGGGGAUGGGCUCGCGGCCUAUCAGCUUGUUGGUGAGGUAAUGGCUCACCAAGGCGUCGACGGGUAGCCGGCCUGAGAGGGUGACCGGCCACACUGGGACUGAGACACGGCCCAGACUCCUACGGGAGGCAGCAGUGGGGAAUAUUGCACAAUGGGCGAAAGCCUGAUGCAGCAACGCCGCGUGAGGGAUGACGGCCUUCGGGUUGUAAACCUCUUUUAGCAGGGAAGAAGCGAAAGUGACGGUACCUGCAGAAAAAGCGCCGGCUAACUACGUGCCAGCAGCCGCGGUAAUACGUAGGGCGCAAGCGUUAUCCGGAAUUAUUGGGCGUAAAGAGCUCGUAGGCGGUUUGUCGCGUCUGCUGUGAAAUCCCGAGGCUCAACCUCGGGCCUGCAGUGGGUACGGGCAGACUAGAGUGCGGUAGGGGAGAUUGGAAUUCCUGGUGUAGCGGUGGAAUGCGCAGAUAUCAGGAGGAACACCGAUGGCGAAGGCAGAUCUCUGGGCCGUAACUGACGCUGAGGAGCGAAAGGGUGGGGAGCAAACAGGCUUAGAUACCCUGGUAGUCCACCCCGUAAACGUUGGGAACUAGUUGUGGGGUCCAUUCCACGGAUUCCGUGACGCAGCUAACGCAUUAAGUUCCCCGCCUGGGGAGUACGGCCGCAAGGCUAAAACUCAAAGGAAUUGACGGGGACCCGCACAAGCGGCGGAGCAUGCGGAUUAAUUCGAUGCAACGCGAAGAACCUUACCAAGGCUUGACAUAUACGAGAACGGGCCAGAAAUGGUCAACUCUUUGGACACUCGUAAACAGGUGGUGCAUGGUUGUCGUCAGCUCGUGUCGUGAGAUGUUGGGUUAAGUCCCGCAACGAGCGCAACCCUCGUUCUAUGUUGCCAGCACGUAAUGGUGGGAACUCAUGGGAUACUGCCGGGGUCAACUCGGAGGAAGGUGGGGAUGACGUCAAAUCAUCAUGCCCCUUAUGUCUUGGGCUUCACGCAUGCUACAAUGGCCGGUACAAAGGGCUGCAAUACCGUGAGGUGGAGCGAAUCCCAAAAAGCCGGUCCCAGUUCGGAUUGAGGUCUGCAACUCGACCUCAUGAAGUCGGAGUCGCUAGUAAUCGCAGAUCAGCAACGCUGCGGUGAAUACGUUCCCGGGUCUUGUACACACCGCCCGUCAAGUCAUGAAAGUCGGUAACACCUGAAGCCGGUGGCCUAAC
rnacentral:rRNA from 1 species